GAUGAACGCUAGCGGCAGGCCUAAUACAUGCAAGUCGAACGGUAGAUCGGGUAGCAAUACUUGAUUGAGAGUGACGUAAGGGUGCGUAACACGUAUGCAAUCUACCCUCAACAGGAGUAUAGCUCGGGGAAACUCGGAUUAACACUCCAUAACAUUACGAUGUGGCAUCACAUUGUGAUUAAAACUCCGGUGGUUGAGGAUGAGCAUGCGUCUGAUUAGUUAGUUGGAGGUGUAACGGACCCCCAAGACGAUGAUCAGUAGGGGAACUGAGAGGUUGAUCCCCCACACUGGCACUGAGAUACGGGCCAGACUCCUACGGGAGGCAGCAGUAGGGAAUAUUGGUCAAUGGGUGAGAGCCUGAACCAGCCAUGCCGCGUGCAGGAAGACGGCCUUCUGGGUUGUAAACUGCUUUUAUCUGGGGAUAAAAAGCCCAUGCGUGGGACAUUGAAGGUACCAGAUGAAUAAGCACCGGCUAACU
rnacentral:rRNA from 1 species